rnacentral:rRNA from 1 species
UGGGGAAUAUUGCACAAUGGGGGAACCCUGAUGCAGCGACGCCGCGUGAGCGAAGAAGUAUUUCGGUAUGUAAAGCUCUAUCAGCAGGGAAGAAAAAAUGACGGUACCUGGCUAAGAAGCCCCGGCUAACUACGUGCCAGCAGCCGCGGUAAUACGUAGGGGGCAAGCGUUAUCCGGAUUUACUGGGUGUAAAGGGAGCGCAGGCGGUGCGGCAAGUCUGAUGUGAAAGCCCGGGGCUCAACCCCGGGACUGCAUUGGAAACUGUCGUACUUGAGUAUCGGAGAGGUAAGUGGAAUUCCUAGUGUAGCGGUGAAAUGCGUAGAUAUUAGGAGGAACACCAGUGGCGAAGGCGGCUUACUGGACGAUAACUGACGCUGAGGCUCGAAAGCGUGGGGAGCAAACAGGAUUAGAUACCCUGGUAGU